AGAUGUCAUAGCUUUUUUUAACACCACGUGGCGCCCCAAUCGACCGAGUAUGUUACUCUGCCUCUGAUUGGUCAGCUUGUGCAAGGUCGUUUUUGAUUGGUUGUUGAAGUCGUGUCCACGCAGUGCUCUUGUUCUGCUAACUUUGUCCAUGCAAUGUUAGGAAUAUUUACAAAUUUUGUGACGUCAUAGCAGACAGCUGGCUUAUUGUUCGCGAAACGACAUGUGGGAGACGUUGAGACGACGCCGGCCAUGCGCCAUUUCAAUUUCAGUUAUUGUGCAAGGCCGAGUUUCUUACUGUUUUUUGACACAGCAUUGGUGUAUGUUGAAGUCGGCAUUUUCGCUGGAGUGAAGAUUAGUGAGUUUUGAUUUCGUUGGAGAGGAAUAUGAAAAGAAAGGUCUCGACGUGGCUCAACUUUGGAGCCAGCGUGUUGGGUCCCGGCUUCCCGCCAUUCACCGGCGGACCGUUCCGCUUCGUGGACCGCAUCGGCCCCGCACAGCUGGUCAAGGGCAUUAAGCGCUUUGUCGCUGUCUACAGCGUCGGAUUCGAGCUGGUCGGGCACAAGUCGCGCUCUCCACGUGACCGAGCCCGCCCUUAGGCGACCGAUGCCCGCCAACCGGCCGCCGCGCGGACGGAGGUGACGCUGCCGGCCAUCGAGCGGCUCAUCGAGGCGGGCAACGCUCGGAUCAUCGAGACACUGGAAAAGAGACUCGCCCAGUAGGAGCGGAGAAUAGAGAUCCUCGAGGCAGAAUGUCAGGAGACAGAUGUCAUGAUGAUCCGCCGGGAAAUGACAUCCCAGAAAGAGGAGACCAGGGAGCUUAAGGAAAAGGUCGACGGAAUCAACAGAAACCGGCGCAUGUCCUCACUUAUCAUCACGUGUGAGGAAUUCGGUGACAGGAAGCCCGGGGAGGACAUUGAGCUCAUGACGGUGCAAGCGCUCAACAAGCGUUUC
rnacentral:misc_RNA from 1 species